rnacentral:rRNA from 1 species
AGAGUUUGAUCCUGGCUCAGGAUGAACGCUGGCGGCGUGCUUAAUACAUGCAAGUCGAACGAAGAGCUUUUGUAGCAAUACAGAGGUUUCUUAGUGGCGAACGGGUGCGUAACGCGUUGGUGACCUGCCCCAAAGUGUGGGAUAACAGUUCGAAAGGAUUGCUAAUACCGCAUGUGGUCAUCGGGUUUAGAAGCCGAUGACUAAAGCAGUAAUGCGCUUUGGGAGGGACCUGCGUCCCAUCAGCUAGUUGGUGAGGUAAUGGCCCACCAAGGCUACGACGGGUAGGGGACCUGAGAGGGUGGUCCCCCACACUGGCACUGAAACACGGGCCAGACACCUACGGGUGGCAGCAGUAGGGAAUAUUGGGCAAUGGGCGAAAGCCUGACCCAGCAACGCCGCGUGCACGAUGAAGGUCUUCGGAUCGUAAAGUGCUUUUCUGAGAGAUGAGAAAGGACAGUAUCUCAGGAAUAAGUCUCAGCUAACUACGUGCCAGCAGCCGCGGUAAAACGUAGGAGGCAAGCGUUAUCCGGAUUUACUGGGCGUAAAGCGCGUGCAGGUGGUUUGGUAAGUUGGAUGUGAAAGCUCCUGGCUCAACUGGGAGAGGUCGUUCAAUACUACCAGACUUGAGAGCAGUAGAGGGAGGUGGAAUUCCCGGUGUAGUGGUGAAAUGCGUAGAUAUCGGGAGGAACACCAGUGGCGAAAGCGGCCUCCUGGACUGUUUCUGACACUCAGACGCGAAAGCUAGGGUAGCAAACGGGAUUAGAGACCCCGGUAGUCCUAGCUGUAAACGAUGUGAACUUGGCGUCGGCGGGUUCAACGCCGUCGGUGCCGAAGCUAACGCGAUAAGUUCACCGCCUGGGGACUACGGCCGCAAGGUUAAAACUCAAAGGAAUUGACGG